UACGGAGGGUGCGAGCGUUAAUCGGAAUUACUGGGCAUAAAGCGCGCGUAGGCGGCUCAGUCAGUCGGAGGUGAAAUCCCGCAGCUUAACUGCGGAACUGCCCCCGAUACUGCUGAGCUUGAGUGCAGGAGGGGUGACCGGAACUCCAGGUGGAGCGGUGAAAUGCGUAGAUAUCUGGAGGAACACCAGAGGCGAAGGCGGGUCACUGGACUGCAACUGACGCUGAGGUGCGAAAGCUAGGGGAGCGAACAGG
rnacentral:rRNA from 1 species